rnacentral:rRNA from 1 species
UACAGAGACUGCAAGCGUUAUUCGGAUUCACUGGGCGUAAAGGGUGCGCAGGCGGCCAAGUGUGUGAGGCGUGAAAGCCCGAUGCUCAACAUCGGAAUUGUACCUCAAACUACAUGGCUAGAGCAUUGGAGAGGGUAGCGGAAUUCACGGUGUAGCAGUGAAAUGCGUAGAUAUCGUGAGGAACACCAGAGGCGAAGGCGGCUACCUGGACAAUUGCUGACGCUCAGGCACGAAAGCGUGGGGAGCAAAAGGG